rfam:Triticum aestivum genome assembly, contig: Triticum_aestivum_CS42_TGACv1_scaffold_328059_4BS
UCAAUACUCCCUUCGUUCAAAAAUACUUGUCAUCAAAAUGGAAGAAAAGAGAUGUAUUUAGAACUAAAAUACGUCUAGAUACAUCCCUUUUUAUUCAUUUUGAUGACAAGUAUUUUCGGACGAAGGAAGUAUAUC